AAGUUAGGGUUUGGGAGAGAGGAAGAACAGAGAUGACAAAUCGCCAUAGGAGAUCGGAUCAGGACCGACGCUGGAGAACCGAGUCCCCAAUCUAAACCAUCAAAUAGCUCGAGGCAAGGUGCUCUCACGAAUCGCACCUUCCUAUUUCGACAAAACGUUCAAGAACUACAGUUCUGGAGUGAAGACGGCCAAGAUCGGCGUUCGAAUCGGAGUUUAAAGAUAACGUGAUUUUUGGACCUGUGAAGAAAAUUCCAGAAUUGUUGGAAUCCAUUCCGUCAAGAAAACUCGAACUCGGGAAGGCACGCGUCGACCAAGUAAGUAGCCAUUUGGAUUUCCACGAGCAGUACUUGUAUGAACCGCUAGGAACAAGCAUGCAUGCUACCACCUAUGAAAUUAGCUAGUCCGACUUAGCGUGUUAUUAUAGAAACUGCGAAUAUAAGAUGAUUAUGGAAAACUAGAUACAAAAUGUGUAUUAAAUCUGUUUUGGUUGAGACUCUGAUAAUGUAUGUAUGCAUGAGGAGGUUGGGAAACUUGUGAAAUCUGCGCUCCGGGUAAAGAUGGACGUUAUCUUCCCGUUGAGCAUGUUUGAUAAUUUUGCAUAAAUUGCUGCGUGUAAACUCUAUUGUAUGAUGAUUGCUUGUAUUAUCUUUCUUGAUGAAUAGGAAGAAAUUAUGAGCUUAGAUUAGGAUGCUUAUGGCUAAAUAAGCUAGACGAGACCCUAGAUUGGGGGACCUCUAGAAUACCGUGCAAUUAGACCCGCGAAAUGAUUACCGGCGGAACCAGAACCCAGAAUUCCAAACCCGAUAGGUUUGUGACACCAGGCACGAGAAUCCUAGAGAAACACGAAUCUAAGUCUAAGGCACCAAGUUCCACCCUAGAAAGAAUAAUAGGUCACCACGGUAACUGUAGGUAGCCCGCUAGAGUUGAGCAGUGAAGAUAGUGUCAUCAGAACCUCCACUUCCCUCUCUCCUCCGAUACCAUACCGUCGAGAUAGGGCUCCGCUACGAUGAUCGUUGAGCUUUGCAGAUCCGGAUAGGGAAGUGUGACAGGUGCCCAGACCUAGUGGUGAUAGCUAAGGGGUCUUCUGAACAGGACUCCUGGGCCGUAGAAACCCGUCCCUGAGCGGGGGACGUGGAGCCACUUAGGAUGACUUAGUAGCUGACCGGCACAUAGGGGGUCGCACCCCGUUUUGUGGAUGUAUGGUCCCGUGUGAGGGUCGUCAGUUAACCUCCACGGAUGAUGUUCAGAGAGAGAGUCACGUAUUCAGAUCCAGCCAUACGAUCCUCUCAGAUUUGCUUAUGAGGUCACGCCUCACCUCAGGACACUGAUCAUUUCACUGCAUAAGAUGGGCAAACCUUUCAUGAUACAGAAAAGAGAGUUGCAGCUUAGAUCACUCUCCUUAGAAACCCGAGAAAGACCGUGGUUACCUACCAAGAUAAGGAUGCGAAAAGAGCCUACAAGUAGGCUGCUUACUGAGUAUAUUUUUAUACUCACC